rnacentral:lncRNA from 1 species
CUCUCCUCCCACCCACCGCCGGCCGCGCUCGCCCUACCGGAGCGGCUCCCAGCCGUCUGCCCGCCGCGCGUUCUUCUGGCGGGCUGGGCGCCGUCGCCACCCGCCGCCUCGACGCCCCGCCCACUCGCCGCUCCCGCACCCGCGGCGCCGCGUUCCAGUGUAUAGGAUGUACAGGAUGAAAAGAUCCCAAGUGAGGACCCCAAUCAGGAGGCUGAUAAGGAAUGUUAAUCUGGAUUGGGAAGAUUCCAUGGCACUAGGCUGUACCACAGUCAUAGAAAGAGGAACUUUAAGAAGACUAAAGAGAGCAACACUGAACACUUUCCUGGACAGUCCUGUACAUGUUUUAUUGGUGAUGCCCAAGCUUAUCCCUGAACACUGGGAAAAGUGGGAAGAUGUCAAGAGAUAAAAGACAGAGGAUGACAGAUCUGAGAGGGACCGAGUGACUAACUUUCCUCUGCAAGCUCAAAGCAAGAAGUUGACUGCUUUUUCAUUUGAACUCUGCCCCAGCAUCAACAAAUCACCACUCUGGGUUUAUGCAACUUGUUUCCUAAUUGAAUAAAAUAAGCCUGAAUAUGAAAACAUAUCAGAAGAAAAUUUAAGUCAGAAAAAAUUUAAGUUAGAAACUGCUGUGCUCUUAUCUGUUUCCAAUGAAUACCAAUGAUGUUCUUAAAGCUUCCUAGGAGCCUCAAUGGGCAGAAACCAUAGUUACUAUUUCAGUACAAAACAGAAAAAAUAGAGAUUGUAGAAGGAUUGUUACUCGAAAGCCAAUCAAGGAGAGUACCUGAAAGGAGGAAUUACAGAAGAGACUAAAGUCUGAUAGAGUAGAAUGAAACACUGGAUUGUGAAUAUUCAAUUAAAAAAUAUUAAACAUAGAUCACUUUACUGGACUCUAAGCUACUCUCUAGGAAUAGAACAAUUUCUAAGCCUUGAUUCUAGAGCCAAUAGUCUAGGCCAAGGCUUCUUAAACUUUAAUGUGCAUAUGAAUCCCCUGAAAAUCUUGGCUCAUGCCUGUAAUCCCAGAACUUUGGGAGGCUGAGGUGGGCAGAUCACUGGAGGGCAAGAGUUCGAGACCAGCCUGACCAACAUAGCGAAACUCCAUCUCUACUAAAAAUACAAAAAAAAAAAAAUUAGCUGUGCAUGGUGGCACACAACUGUAAUCCCAGCUACUCCGGAGGCUGAGGCACAAGAAUUGCUUGAACCCAGGAGGUGGAGGUUGCAGUGAGCUGAGAUCGUACCACUGCACUCCAGCCUGGGUAACAGAGCAUCUCAAAAAAAAAAAAAAAAAAAAAAGUCGAGGCUUAUUCAAGAGAUCUGGAGUAGAGCCUUAAAUUCUAACAAAUUCCUAGGUGAUACUGAUGCUGCUGGCCCAUGGACUACACUUUGAGUAGCAAGAAACGCAUGGAUAAAGAAAUAGAGUGAAGUGUUGCAGGUACUUGGAAAUCUAUAAAGAGUACUAUGUGAGCACCAUGGAGGGCCUUUCUACCUCAGAGUAUUAGAAAAGGCUUCAUACAGGAAGGGAUGGAUGGGCUGAGUCUUCUCCUGGUAAUCAUGGGGAUAAAGUCAAGAGGUCAACAUUAAAGUUCAGUGACUAUGGUGUGAGUUGGACAGGCCGUCUAAACUUUCUGGCCCUCAAUUUUCUUUCUUUUUUUCUUUUUUGAAAUGGAGUCUCAUUCUAUCACCCAGGCUGGAGUGCAGUGGUGCUAUCAUCUCAGCUCAGUGCAACCUCCGCCAAUCAAGCCAUUCUCCUAGCUCAGCCUCCCAAGUAGCUGGGAUUAUAGGGGCGUGUGACCACACCCAGCUAAGUUUUGUAUUUUUAGUAGAGAUGGGGUUUUACCACGUUGG